rnacentral:lncRNA from 1 species
GUGAAACCAGCGCCGCGGCAGGCAGCUAGCGAAGACGAUCGAAGAUAGAUGUGGCGGCGACGGGGAACCGGCGGCUGUCAAUGGGCGAGGACGGGCUGCCGGCGGCCUGGUGGACUAGCCAGCGGCGACCCAAUUGAGGGCUGGCGAGCGGCGGCGCCCCGGCCGAGGAUGAGAUGGCAGCAGUGGCCUGAGGAGGACAAGGCGGAGCUGGCCUAGUAGGGGAGAGGACGAGCUGGCGGUGGGCAAGGGGCGGCGGCACCAAGCGCCGACGACAGAUCUGGACGGGAUGACGAGGUCAGAGUCUUUUGCGCCGCACAGAGAGGACGUGGGCGUGGUGGUUUUCAGGAUUUUUUUUUUCUUUUUUGUUGGCUUGACGAUCUUUUCAGGAUUUUUUUCUUUUGCAAAAAAAUAAAAAUAGAUGUAAAUGUAGGACGAUAUAGAAAGCGUCUCACCGAACGUCUUUAUUUUUAUUUUCAGGGUGGCUUCGAAAAUUGAGACGACUACAGUAUCGUCUUAAGAGAAACGCGCUCAUUUUGUUGUAGUGCGCACGAUCAAAUCAAACACACAUUCAUCAUCAUUUGCAGCAUUCAAUCCAUCGCUUUUCAGUAUCAAAACCACUAAUUCCGCUACUACUGAUUUGUUUCACCAAUGCUAUGCAAUUCAUCAUCCGUAUAAUGGAAUCAGUCGCUUUUCAGUGCCAACACACUAAUUCUGCUACUAAUCUAUUUCACCGAUGAGAGGCGAGGGCGAGGCAGCUCGGCGAGCUGAAGGUGCCACUGCCACCGGCCUUCGACUUCUCCAAGUCUGGC